rnacentral:rRNA from 1 species
AGCGAACGCUGGCGGCAGGCCUAACACAUGCAAGUCGAACGAAGCCUUCGGGCUUAGUGGCGGACGGGUGAGUAACACGUGGGAACGUACCUUUUGGUUCGGAACAACUCAGGGAAACUUGAGCUAAUACCGGAUGAGCCCUUUGGGGGAAAGAUUUGUCGCCAUUAGAGCGGCCCGCGUUAGAUUAGCUAGUUGGUGAGGUAAAGGCUCACCAAGGCUACGAUCUAUAGCUGGUCUGAGAGGAUGAUCAGCCACACUGGGACUGAGACACGGCCCAGACUCCUACGGGAGGCAGCAGUGGGGAAUCUUGCGCAAUGGGCGAAAGCCUGACGCAGCCAUGCCGCGUGAAUGAUGAAGGUCUUAGGAUUGUAAAAUUCUUUUACCAGGGACAAUAAUGACGGUACCUGGAGAAAAAGCCCCGGCUAACUUCGUGCCAGCCGCCGCGGUAAGAC